rnacentral:tRNA from 1 species
GGUUAAGUGACCGAGAUAUAGGUAAUAAAUUGUAAAUUUAUGUACGAAAUGAAAAUUUCCUUUACCA